UACGUAGGGCGCGAGCGUUGUCCGGAAUUAUUGGGCGUAAAGAGCUCGUAGGCGGCCUGUCGCGUCCACUGUGAAAACCCGGGGCUCAACCCCGGGCUUGCAGUGGAUACGGGCAGGCUAGAGGCAGGCAGGGGAGAACGGAAUUCCUGGUGUAGCGGUGAAAUGCGCAGAUAUCAGGAGGAACACCGGUGGCGAAGGCGGUUCUCUGGGAAUAUCCUGACGCUGAGGAGCGAAAGUGUGGGGAGCGAACAGG
rnacentral:rRNA from 1 species